rnacentral:rRNA from 1 species
GGCUCAGAUUGAACGCUGGCGGCAGGCUUAACACAUGCAAGUCGAGCGGAAACGAUGGGUGCUUGCACCCAGGCGUCGAGCGGCGGACGGGUGAGUAAUGCUUAGGAAUCUGCCUAGUAGUGGGGGAUAGCCCGGGGAAACUCGGAUUAAUACCGCAUACGCCCUACGGGGGAAAGCAGGGGAUYCGCUCUUCGGAGAGGACCUUGCGCUAUUAGAUGAGCCUAAGUCGGAUUAGCUUGUUGGUGGGGUAAUGGCCUACCAAGGCGACGAUCCGUAGCUGGUCUGAGAGGAUGAUCAGCCACAUCGGGACUGAGACACGGCCCGAACUCCUACGGGAGGCAGCAGUGGGGAAUAUUGGACAAUGGGCGCAAGCCUGAUCCAGCCAUGCCGCGUGUGUGAAGAAGGCUUUCGGGUUGUAAAGCACUUUCAGCGAGGAGGAAGGCCUUAAGCUUAAUACGCUUGAGGAUGA